rnacentral:rRNA from 1 species
AGCAGUGUAGAAAUGUGUCUGACACUGAUCCUGUCUGAUCUCGGAAACUAAGCAGGGUCGAGCCUGGUUAUUACUUGGAUGGGAGAACACCUAGGAAGACCAGGUGCCGUAGGCA